rnacentral:rRNA from 1 species
AGCAUUAUACCGUGAAACUGCGAAUGGCUCAUUAAAUCAGUUAUCGUUUAUUUGAUAGUACCUUACUACUUGGAUAACCGUGGUAAUUCUAGAGCUAAUACAUGCUGAAAACCCCAACUUCGGGAGGGGUGUAUUUAUUAGAUAAAAAACCAACGCCCUUCGGGGCUUCUUGGUGAUUCAUGAUAACUUUACGGAUCGCAUGGCCUUGCGCCGGCGACGGUUCAUUCAAAUUUCUGCCCUAUCAACUUUCGAUGGUAAGGUAUUGGCUUACCAUGGUUUCAACGGGUAACGGGGAAU